rnacentral:snRNA from 1 species
GUGCUCGCUUUGGCAACACAUAUACUACAACUGGAAUGAUACAGAGAAGAUUAGCAUGGCCCCUGUGCAAGAAGGACAUGCAAAUUAAAAAAAAAGUUUGUUU